UUUCAGUCACCAAAUCAGAAUGCUAAGAGUUAUUCUACAUCACAUUCUUUCUUUUACACCACAGUAUUAGCUCCCAAACUAUGCAGAUUCUCUCUCCUAAAUAAAACAUGAUUUGGGCCCCUCCUCUUCAUUUCCACUAUAACAUUCAUGUCUGCAUCAUUUGUUGUGGGGGAGGAGGUUUUUCAACAAAGUUUUUUAACUGGUCACCUUGAUGCCAAUUUCUUCUCUCCAUAAUGCAUCACCCUCCAUACAUCUUUCUGGACUACAAAUUUGGUCAUAAGAUAACCCCAAAAAGUACCUUAACAUUUACAUGGGUUUAAUAGAAUAUACAAUAAAGAAGGGACCCAGAUUAUAUAAGCAACUACAAUACCCUUUUGAAAUCUGUUCUACAAGUUAACUUUUUUAAUGUCCUUUUUCGUAUAUCUUCAACUCUUCCUUCUCUCCUUCUCUACUAAUUCCUUCCCCUCAACCUAUACACAGGCUUAGACUUUUCCUAAAAUAAUCCUCUUUGAAUUUUCAUUUGGCCUCUAUCAAUCACUAUUUGGGUCUGAACUUGAGUCAGUUCACCCUCUAGAGUCUGUAGUAAACAGAUGACUAGGCCAGAGCAAAAUUAGGAAAAAGGUCUAACAUGGGUGAUAGCACAUGAUGAAAGAUUUGAGAGCCACUAAAACUGAGUAUAGCUUUAAACUUUAUUUUUACUUUGGAAAGACACUUUUACAAUAUAAUGUAAGAUGACCAAAUAAUCUUUAAACAAUAGUAAACAAAAUUCUAAUGUUAAAUGAAUGUUCUAAUGUUCUAAAAGAAUUCUAAUGUUCUUCAUGAACAUCUGAAAGUUGAAAAUAUUACACGGUGCAAAAUGCCUUUCCAGCCUAUUUAAAGAUGUGUAGCAGCACAAAUCAAAUACUCACAGCAGGAUUCAUCCUUACUCAUCUAUUCUAAAGUGAUUCGAAACGAUAAAAUUCAGGAUUAUGACAACAAAAUAAAAUCUAAAUAAAGGUGAUAGUAAAUUUCUGCAAAAGAGGAACUUGGCACAGUUUCAUUGUUUUCUUCAAAAUGAAGAUAUUUAUUGGUCUAUGAUUAAUAAAUUAACAUACAUAUGCUGCAAAAAUUUAAAGAAACAAUACAGAAUAAAGAAAAAGCAUGAAAA